ACGCACGCUGGCGGCGUGCUUAACACCUGCAAGUCGCACGGAAAGGCCCUGCUUGCAGGGUACUCGAGUGGCGAACGGGUGAGUAACACGUGGGUGAUCUGCCCUGCACUUCGGGAUAAGCUUGGGAAACUGGGUCUAAUACCGGAUAGGAGCCAUCUUUAGUGUGGUGGUUGGAAAGUUUUUUCGGUGUAGGAUGAGCUCGCGGCCUAUCAGCUUGUUGGUGGGGUAAUGGCCUACCAAGGCGGCGACGGGUAGCCGGCCUGAGAGGGUGUACGGCCACAUUGGGACUGAGAUACGGCCCAGACUCCUACGGGAGGCAGCAGUGGGGAAUAUUGCACAAUGGGCGCAAGCCUGAUGCAGCGACGCCGCGUGGGGGAUGAAGGCCUUCGGGUUGUAAACUCCUUUCGCUAGGGACGAAGCUUUUUUGUGACGGUACCUAGAUAAGAAGCACCGGCUAACUACGUG
rnacentral:rRNA from 1 species